CUGGGAUUACAGGUGUGUGCCACUGUGCCGGCUGAAAUGCACUUUUUUUUUUUCUUUUACUAUUCUUCCAUAAAUACUUUAAAGAGUCAUUGGACCCCCCAGUCCACUCAUAGGCAGCUGACACAUUGUUUACUUCUGGAAAUGGUUGCUGCCCCCACAGACUUUGGGAAAUCAGCAACCCAGAUCUUUAGCGAAUAAAUGUUGAAACUAGAAUUAUCUCUGAUAUUCAAAGAUGAUAUGGAAGUCAGUCAUGCUGUUUCCAAGGUGACAGGCUAGUCUCCUCAGUUUACCCAGCAACCAACAGGCUGACAGGAAAUAAGAAAGGCAGGUCUGCUGGGUCACUGGUUCCAUGUGCCCCACACUCUUUGAGGAAAUAACCCCCAAACAGAUCAGUGUCUCCAGAGUGAGAAGCAUCUCUAUUUUUUUCAUUGCAAGAAUUUGCUAUGGUUUGAAUGUUCCCCAAGGUUUCAUGUGUAGAAGUUUAAUGUCCAUUUUGAGAUAUUAAGAGGGUGGAAAUUUAAUCUGAUUAUGAUAUUUAGAAAGGGGCUUUUGGGAAGGUGUUAGAUUUAGGUAAGGUUACUGGGGGAAUUCUGGUGGUUUUAAAAGAAGAGAGAGAGGGACAGAGCCAGAAGAACUCACCCUGUCUCUUGCCAUGUGAUGCCAUGUGCCUCCUUGGGAGUCUGCUAACAAGAAGAUCAUCUGCCAUGGUUACAACUAAAGGGGCGGGGGAUGUCUUGCCAGAGUCUGCAGCAUGGUGUUUGAAGUUCAGCCUCCAAAGCUAAACUUCAGUUGUCUCCAUAUCUUGGUUACUGUGAAUAAUGAAUGCUGGAAUGAGCAUGGCAUUGAAGGAAUCUUUAUAAGUGAGUUUCCGAAAUUCAUUGCCCAGACUGAGGUUAAGAAGCUUUCCCUAGAAAAGUGGGGGUGAGUCUCCUAAAAAUCAAAGGGAGAUCAGUAGAAG